rnacentral:rRNA from 1 species
AACGAACGCUGGCGGCAUGCCUAACACAUGCCAGUCGAACGAGACCUUCGGGUCUAGUGGCGCACGGGUGCGUAACGCGUGGGAACCUGCCCUUAGGUUCGGAAUAACUCCCCGAAAGGGGUGCUAAUACCGGAUAAUGUCUUCGGACCAAAGAUUUAUCGCCUUUGGAUGGGCCCGCGUUGGAUUAGCUAGUUGGUAGGGUAAAAGCCUACCAAGGCGACGAUCCAUAGCUGGUCUGAGAGGAUGAUCAGCCACACUGGGACUGAGACACGGCCCAGACUCCUACGGGAGGCAGCAGUGGGGAAUAUUGGACAAUGGGCGAAAGCCUGAUCCAGCAGUGCCGCGUGAGUGAUGAAGGCCUUAGGGUUGUAAAGCUCUUUUACCCGGGAUGAUAAUGACAGUACCGGGAGAAUAAGCGCCGGCUAACUCCGUG